ensembl:lncRNA
AUUUCACAGAAAAUAAGUUAUGAAGGUCUCUCUCCAGUAACAAGCCAGCAUCCAGAUGCCUUUCUGGAGAAGAUAAUAGCAGUUCCAAAGCAACAGACACCACAGGAUUUAUUUCCACAUGUUUUAGAAGAUUGCCAGAGAACCUGCAUGACUGUGAUUGACACAGGUAACAGUGUAAAAGAACAAUCCUGUAAUAAUGAUACAGAUCUUUCAUUGGCAACCCUAGGAAAUAUUUUCACAGAACCACUAGUGCUCACUGAACAGAGCAUAGAGACUGCUGAACUUGAAGUCAGUGAUUUGUUGAGACCUCUCAUUGAUUCUGAGAGUCCUAAAACGAUAAACCAACUGCAUGACGUAUUAGACUAUCAGGGUCAUGUCUUUUCCAGUGAUAUAUCAGCAGAUGAGAACAGUGAUGCCCUUCCAGUAGAGCUUGUGACAGCUCUGAAUUCCUUGUCAGGAUCUGUAAUACAGUCUGACAGUCCUGUAGUGCCAAGCAAGAGCCAGCAUACCACUGAGGAAGAGCAGUUAAAUUCAGAAUCCAGUACUCCCCAGCAAGAUGAUGACUGUACACAAAUAACAAACGUGUUUGAGCCUCAGCUUCCUACAAUUCACGAAGAAGAAAUAAAAGCCUUAACAGGAUCUAACUUGCAGAGGACAACAAAUGAGCAACUUGCGGGUGAUCAGCAGAAAGGGAAAGAAGCAAUUUCAGAUUAUUGGAGUGCCAUCUCUAAUGAAAAACAAAAUGAGGAGGGAAGUUUGCAUUCAGUGGAGGCUGUUGUAUGUGCAGAAACCAAUAAAACAGCAUCAGGGAGAACAAUGCAGCUAGAAGAGACCUCCUCAAUAAAGUGUAGAGAUAGUAUUUCCUGUCAUCACCAAGCACUGGAAGAGACACAGCAGAGUAUGUCUCACAAUCACAGUACAACAAGAAACAAAACCAAGGAUUUUAGGACUAGAAGCCUAUUUUGUAAAUCCUUGUUGCCCCAUAUCACUUUCAAGAAUAAAUAGGAGGAAUAUUUUUGGUGAGACCUUACUUCAUAGAGCUGUUGCUGAAGAAGAUAUAGACCUCGUACGUAACAUAAUAAAAUCUGGUGCAAAUGUAAAUGCUCA